GUGCUUACUGGGCUGCACAUGUACUGAAAUUGGAACUAUACAGAGAAGAUCAGCAUGGCCCCUGUGCAAGGAUGAUGUGCAAAUGCAUGAAGCAUUCCAUACUCAA
ensembl:snRNA U6 U6 spliceosomal RNA